rnacentral:rRNA from 1 species
GGAUUGAGUUACCUAGCGGCGGACGGGUGAGUAACGCGUGGGUAACCUGCCUCAUACAGGGGGAUAACAGUUAGAAAUGACUGCUAAUACCGCAUAAGACCACAGGGUCGCAUGACCCGGUGGUAAAAACUCCGGUGGUAUGAGAUGGACCCGCGUCUGAUUAGCUAGUUGGUGGGGUAACGGCUCACCAAGGCGACGAUCAGUAGCCGACCUGAGAGGGUGACCGGCCACAUUGGGACUGAGACACGGCCCAAACUCCUACGGGAGGCAGCAGUGGGGAAUAUUGCACAAUGGGCGAAAGCCUGAUGCAGCGACGCCGCGUGAAGGAUGAAGUAUUUCGGUAUGUAAACUUCUAUCAGCAGGGAAGAAAAUGACGGUACCUGACUAAGAAGCCCCGGCUAACUACGUGCCAGCAGCCGCGGUAAUACGUAGGGGGCAAGCGUUAUCCGGAUUUACUGGGUGUAAAGGGAGCGUAGACGGCAUGGCAAGUCUGAAGUGAAAGCCCGGGGCUCAACCCCGGGACUGCUUUGGAAACUGUCAGGCUAGAGUGCUGGAGAGGUAAGUGGAAUUCCUAGUGUAGCGGUGAAAUGCGUAGAUAUUAGGAGGAACACCAGUGGCGAAG